AUUGAACGCUGGCGGCAGGCCUAACACAUGCAAGUCGAACGAGUGGCGGACGGGUGAGUAAUGUCUGGGAAACUGCCUGAUGGAGGGGGAUAACUACUGGAUACGGUAGCUAAUACCGCAUACCAUCAGAUGUUCCCAGAUGGGAUUAGCUAGUAGGGGGGGUAAUGGGUCACCUAGGCGACGAUCCCUAGCUGGUCUGAGAGGAUGACCAGCCACACUGGAACGGAGAAACGGUGCCGAGGACGACGUGCGGCAGCAGUGGGGAAUAUGGCACAAGGGGCGCAAGCCUGAUGCAGCCAUGCAGCGGGUGUGAAGAAGGACUUCGGGUUGUAAAGCACUUUCAGCGAGGAAGCUUUACUCGCAGAAGAAGCACCGGCAAACUCCGUGCCAGCAGCCGCGGUAAUUC
rnacentral:rRNA from 1 species